rnacentral:rRNA from 1 species
CGGGGGGAGCAAGCGUUGUUCGGAUUUACUGGGCGUAAAGGGCGGAUAGGCGGCCACUGCAAGUCGGUUGUGAAAUCUCCGGGCUUAACUCGGAAAGGUCAAUCGAUACUGCAGGGCUAGAGUGCAGAAGGGGCAACUGGAAUUCUCGGUGUAGCGGUGAAAUGCGUAGAUAUCGAGAGGAACACCUGCGGCGAAGGCGGGUUGCUGGGCUGACACUGACGCUGAACUGCGAAAGCUAGGGGAGCGAACGGGAUUAGAUACCCCGGUAGUCCUAGCCUUAAACGAUGAAUGCUUGGUGUCUGGGGUUUUAUAGUCCCCGGGUGCCGUCGCUAACGCUUUAAGCAUUCCGCCUGGGGAGUACGGUCGCAAGACUG